rnacentral:rRNA from 1 species
CAGCAGUAGCCGCGGUAAUACGAAGGGUGCAAGCGUUAAUCGGAAUUACUGGGCGUAAAGCGUGCGUAGGCGGUGAGUUAAGUCUGCUGUGAAAUCCCCGGGCUCAACCUGGGAAUGGCAGUGGGUACUGGCUCGCUAGAGUGUGUCAGAGGAUGGUGGAAUUCCCGGUGUAGCGGUGAAAUGCGUAGAGAUCGGGAGGAACAUCAGUGGCGAAGGCGGCCAUCUGGGACAACACUGACGCUGAGGCACGAAAGCGUGGGGAGCAAACAGGAUUAGAUACCCGCGUAGUCCCUGUCUCUUAUAC